GACGAACCGUGCGAACGUUGUUCGGAAUCACUGGGCUUAAAGGGCGCGUAGGCGGACCGCCAAGUCCGUGGUGAAAUCCUCCAGCUCAACUGGAGAACUGCCGCGGAUACUGGAGGUCUCGAGGGAGGUAGGGGCAAGCGGAACUGUGGGUGGAGCGGUGAAAUGCGUUGAUAUCCACAGGAACUCCGGUGGCGAAGGCGGCUUGCUGGACCUUUUCUGACGCUGAGGCGCAAAAGCCAGGGGAGCAAACAGG
rnacentral:rRNA from 1 species